UCCAUCCUUAAGACUUGGCUUCUCCGUGC
rnacentral:piRNA from 1 species